CUGACCUAGCGGCGGACGGGUGAGUAAUGCUUAGGAAUCUGCCUAUUAGUGGGGGACAACAUCUCGAAAGGGAUGCUAAUACCGCAUACGUCCUACGGGAGAAAGCAGGGGACCUUCGGGCCUUGCGCUAAUAGAUGAGCCUAAGUCGGAUUAGCUAGUUGGUGGGGUAAAGGCCUACCAAGGCGACGAUCUGUAGCGGGUCUGAGAGGAUGAUCCGCCACACUGGGACUGAGACACGGCCCAGACUCCUACGGGAGGCAGCAGUGGGGAAUAUUGGACAAUGGGGGGAACCCUGAUCCAGCCAUGCCGCGUGUGUGAAGAAGGCCUUUUGGUUGUAAAGCACUUUAAGCGAGGAGGAGGCUACCGAGAUUAAUACUCUUGGAUAGUGGACGUUACUCGCAGAAUAAGCACCGGCUAACUCUGUGCCAGCAGCCGCGGUAAUACAGAGGGUGCAAGCGUUAAUCGGAUUUACUGGGCGUAAAGCGCGCGUAGGUGGCCAAUUAAGUCAAAUGUGAAAUCCCCGAGCUUAACUUGGGAAUUGCAUUCGAUACUGGUUGGCUAGAGUAUGGGAGAGGGUGGUAGAAUUCCAGGUGUAGCGGUGAAAUGCGUAGAGAUCUGGAGGAAUACCGAUGGCGAAGGCAGCCAUCUGGGCCUAAUACUGACACUGAGGUGCGAAAGCAUGGGGAGCAAACAGGAUUAGAUACCCUGGUAGUCCAUGCCGUAAACGAUGUCUACUAGCCGUUGGGGCCUUUGAGGCUUUAGUGGCGCAGCUAACGCGAUAAGUAGACCGCCUGGGGAGUACGGUCGCAGACUAAAACUCAAAUGAA
rnacentral:rRNA from 1 species